rnacentral:rRNA from 1 species
ACAUGCAAGUCGAGCGGUAACAGAAAUUAGCUUGCUAAUUUGCUGACGAGCGGCGGACGGGUGAGUAAUGCCUGGGAAUAUGCCUUGAUGUGGGGGAUAACUAUUGGAAACGAUAGCUAAUACCGCAUAAUGCCUACGGGCCAAAGAGGGGGAUCUUCGGACCUCUCGCGUCAAGAUUAGCCCAGGUGGGAUUAGCUAGUUGGUGGGGUAAUGGCUCACCAAGGCGACGAUCCCUAGCUGGUUUGAGAGGAUGAUCAGCCACACUGGAACUGAGACACGGUCCAGACUCCUACGGGAGGCAGCAGUGGGGAAUAUUGCACAAUGGGGGAAACCCUGAUGCAGCCAUGCCGCGUGUAUGAAGAAGGCCUUCGGGUUGUAAAGUACUUUCAGUUGUGAGGAAGGCGGUAACGUUAAUAGCGUUACCGUUUGACGUUAGCAACAGAAGAAGCACCGGCUAACUCCGUGCCAGCAGCCGCGGUAAUACGGAGGGUGCGAGCGUUAAUCGGAAUUACUGGGCGUAAAGCGCAUGC